AACGAACGCUGGCGGCAGGCCUAACACAUGCAAGUCGAGCGGACAUCUUCGGAUGUUAGCGGCGGACGGGUGAGGAACGCGUGGGAACGUGCCCUUUGCUUCGGAAUAGCCUCGGGAAACUGGGAGUAAUACCGGAUGUACCCUUUGGGGGAAAGAUUUAUCGGCAAAGGAUCGGCCCGCGUUGGAUUAGGUAGUUGGUGGGGUAAUGGCCUACCAAGCCGACGAUCCAUAGCUGGUUUGAGAGGAUGAUCAGCCACACUGGGACUGAGACACGGCCCAGACUCCUACGGGAGGCAGCAGUGGGGAAUCUUAGACAAUGGGGGAAACCCUGAUCUAGCCAUGCCGCGUGAGCGAUGAAGGCCUUAGGGUUGUAAAGCUCUUUCACCGGGGAAGAUAAUGACGGUACCCGGAGAAGAAGCCCCGGCUAACUCCGUG
rnacentral:rRNA from 1 species